rnacentral:rRNA from 1 species
GACGAACGCUGGCGGCGUGCUUAACACAUGCAAGUCGAGCGGUAAGGCCCUUUCGGGGGUACACGAGCGGCGAACGGGUGAGUAACACGUGGGUGACCUGCCCUCAGCUCUGGGAUAAGCCUGGGAAACCGGGUCUAAUACUGGAUAUGACUCCAUGACGCAUGUUGUGGGGUGGAAAGCCUUGUGCGGCUGAGGAUGGGCCCGCGGCCUAUCAGCUUGUUGGUGGGGUNANGGCCUACCAAGGCGACGACGGGUAGCCGGCCUGAGAGGGCGACCGGCCACACUGGGACUGAGACA